GUCUUCGUGGCUCAGUUGGUUAGAGCGUUGGUCUCAUAUUCUAUAUGAUUCGAUCUAAGAUCGGGCCAUCCAAAGGUCGUGAGUUCGAGCCUCACCGAGGACA